rnacentral:rRNA from 1 species
UGGGGAAUAUUGGACAAUGGGCGCAAGCCUGAUCCAGCCAUGCCGCGUGAGUGAUGAAGGCCCUAGGGUUGUAAAGCUCUUUCACCGGUGAAGAUAAUGACGGUAACCGGAGAAGAAGCCCCGGCUAACUUCGUGCCAGCAGCCGCGGUAAUACGAAGGGGGCUAGCGUUGUUCGGAUUUACUGGGCGUAAAGCGCACGUAGGCGGACUAUUAAGUCAGGGGUGAAAUCCCGGGGCUCAACCCCGGAACUGCCUUUGAUACUGGUUGUCUUGAGUUCGAGAGAGGUGAGUGGAGUUCCGAGUGUAGAGGUGAAAUUCGUAGAUAUUCGGAGGAACACCAGUGGCGAAGGCGGCUCACUGGCUCGAUACUGACGCUGAGGUGCGAAAGCGUGGGGAGCAAACAGG